ensembl:rRNA 5S_rRNA 5S ribosomal RNA
GUUUAUGGCUAUAUCACCACAUCUUCCAUAUAUUUCUUCUGAAUGAAGUAGAGCCUAAUUAGUACUUGUAUGGGAGACUGCCUGCAAUAACUAGAUACUGUAUGCU